GACGAACGCUGGCGGCGUGCCUAAUACAUGCAAGUCGAGCGGAUUUAUCCUUCGGGAUAAGUUAGCGGCGGACGGGUGAGUAACACGUAGGUAACCUGCCUAUAAGAUCGGGAUAACUAUCGGAAACGAUAGCUAAGACCGGAUAACUGGUUUUCUCGCAUGAGAGAAUUAUGAAACACGGAGCAAUCUGUGGCUUAUAGAUGGGCCUGCGGCGCAUUAGCUAGUUGGUAGGGUAACGGCCUACCAAGGCGACGAUGCGUAGCCGACCUGAGAGGGUGAACGGCCACACUGGGACUGAGACACGGCCCAGACUCCUACGGGAGGCUG
rnacentral:rRNA from 1 species